UUGUAGGUAUUUAAGAAGAUUGAAACGUCAAUAAAUCUUUCUUUAUAUUUUCUGUUCCACAAAGGACCCUGGAGCUUCUGUUCAGCGGACCUCACAAUGUCAAAAAUUCUUCAGGAUCAGGAAACUUCUAUCUGAAAUGGACACCAUCUAUAAUUGAUGAAGGACCUGGCCAUCCCAUCUGUUUUGUUAUUCAGAGGUAACUUUUAAAUUCUGUGUAUCAGUCUGAACUUCGAUGUGUCGUUGUGACAGUUAAGCGUGAUCCUGUUGUUCUAAAACUGAAUAUAUGGACUACACUGUCACUGGAGGACAACAAGGACAACAUUUUAAAAACGGUCAGAGAC